GACGAACGCUGGCGGCGUGCCUAACACAUGCAAGUCGAGCGGGGGGAGUUCUUCGGAACAAACCUAGCGGCGGACGGGUGAGUAACACGUGGGUAACCUGCCUCAAAGUGGGGGAUAGCCUUCCGAAAGGAAGAUUAAUACCGCAUAACCCAUGAUUUCCGCAUGGAAGUUAGGGUAAAGAUUUAUCGAUUUGAGAUGGACCCGCGGCGCAUUAGCGGGUUGGUGAGGUAACGGUUCACCAAGGCCACGAUGCGUAGCCGACCUGAGGGGGUGAACGGCCAAAUUGGAACGGAGACGCGUUCCAGACUCCGACAGGAGGCAGCAGUGAGGAAUAUUGCACAAUGGGCGAAAGCCUGAUGCAGCAACGCCGCGUGACUAAUGAAGGCCUUCGGGUUGUAAAGCUCUGUCUUUUGGGACGAUAAUGACGGUACCAAAGGAGGAAGCCACGGCUAACCACGUGCCAGCCGCCGCGGUAAUAC
rnacentral:rRNA from 1 species